rnacentral:rRNA from 1 species
GACGAACGCUGGCGGCGUGCUUAACACAUGCAAGUCGAACGGAAAGGCCCUGCUUUUGUUGGGUGCUCGAGUGGCGAACGGGUGAGUAACACGUGUGUAACCUGCCCUUGACUUUGGGAUAACUUCAGGAAACUGGGGCUAAUACCGGAUAUGAGCUCCUGCUGCAUGGUGGGGGUUGGAAAGUUUCGGCCGUUGGGGAUGGACUCGCGGCUUAUCAGCUUGUUGGUGGGGUAGUGGCUUACCAAGGCUUUGACGGGUAGCCGGCCUGAGAGGGUGACCGGCCACAUUGGGACUGAGGUACGGCCCAGACUGGUACGGGAGGCAGCAGUGGGGAAUAUUGCACAAUGGGCGGAAGCGUGAUGCAGCAGCGCCGCGUGCGGGAUGACGGCCUUCGGGUUGUAAACAGAUUUCGCCUGUGACGAAGCGUGAGUGACGGUAAUGGGUAAAGAAGCACCGGCUAACUACGUG